CAGUAGCCGCGGUAAUACGGAGGGUGCAAGCGUUAAUCGGAAUUACUGGGCGUAAAGCGCACGCAGGCGGUUUGUUAAGUCAGAUGUGAAAUCCCCGAGCUUAACUUGGGAACUGCAUUUGAAACUGGCAAGCUAGAGUCUUGUAGAGGGGGGUAGAAUUCCAGGUGUAGCGGUGAAAUGCGUAGAGAUCUGGAGGAAUACCGGUGGCGAAGGCGGCCCCCUGGACAAAGACUGACGCUCAGGUGCGAAAGCGUGGGGAGCAAACAGGAUUAGAUACCCCUGUAGUCCCUGUCUCUUUACA
rnacentral:rRNA from 1 species